UACGUAGGGGGCAAGCGUUGUCCGGAAUCAUUGGGCGUAAAGCGCGUGUAGGCGGUUCAGUAAGUCUGCUGUGAAAGUCCAGGGCUCAACCCUGGGAUGCCGGUGGAUACUGCUGGGCUAGAGUACGGAAGAGGCGAGUGGAAUUCCCGGUGUAGCGGUGAAAUGCGCAGAUAUCGGGAGGAACACCAAUUGCGAAGGCAGCUCGCUGGGACGUCGCUGACGCUGAGACGCGAAAGCGUGGGGAGCAAACAGG
rnacentral:rRNA from 1 species